UACGUAGGGUGCAAGCGUUGUCCGGAAUUACUGGGCGUAAAGCGCACGUAGGUGGUUUGCUAAGCCAGCUGUGAAAUCCCCGGGCUCAACCUGGGCACUGCAGUUGGAACUGGCAAGCUAGAGUAGGGUAGAGGGGUGUGGAAUUCCAGGUGUAGCGGUGAAAUGCGUAGAUAUCUGGAGGAACAUCAGUGGCGAAGGCGACACCCUGGACUCAUACUGACACUGAGGUGCGAAAGCGUGGGGAGCAAACAGG
rnacentral:rRNA from 1 species